AGGCAAAGCAAAUUAGCAAAAGAUGCAGGUAAAAAAGUAUGGAGGACUCAGCAAAAAACUUGCAUAAAGAUUGACCCUGAGCUACCAUUUGUGCCAAUCUUCCUCUAUUUUGUAUAUGGGAUGCCACCACAGCAUGGCUUGAUGAACUGUGUGUAGAUCUGCACCUGGGAUCCGAACCUAUGAACCCUGGGCUGCCAAAUCAGAGUGAGUGAACUUAACCAGUAUGCCACUGGGCUGGCCCCAAGUUGGAAUGUGCUGACCUUGCCUUUGUCUGUUGAGUCUUAUGAAGUAUCUCCAGGGGUUUUUAAGGCCAGACAAGAAAAUGCUGUGAAGGCACAUGAAAGAGAAGUCUGUGCAGGGAUCCCCAACACAAACCAGAGAAAAUUUUCUGUAUCUAAAGGCUAUCUGCUUUGUUGCUUCUGGACAAAAGUCUGAGAGGAAGGGGAAGCAUGUGCUGCCUUCCAAAUGGAAAGGACCGUCGCAUCAGACUCUUGCGGGCAUGAGGUCCUUGUUGGUGGAGCUCUUCCCCAGCCAUGAGAAAAGAAACGGAUGACAAAGUCUUCUGAAAUGGAACUCUUCACUGCUAUCUGACUCUUCUAGAAGAUCUUCAUUUUUAGAAGAUUUUGUGUUUCAUCCAGAAAUCAAAUGUAAUUAUGUUGUACUUGGAAAUAUUUGAUUCAUAUCGGGUAUGAAAUAUUAAAGAUGAAAAAUGACUGGAAAGAUGAUGAAAAGAACUACUUAAACAUUAUGAAUAAGACAAAAUGCCUUAUUUGAAUUCAGUCAACACAGAUUGAGCCUUUUCAGCACUAGUUAAUGAGCCUACCUAGAUGAGGAAGACCCUGACCUU
rnacentral:lncRNA from 1 species